CACACUGGGACUGAGACACGGCCCAGACUCCUACGGGAGGCAGCAGUGGGGAAUAUUGCGCAAUGGGCGAAAGCCUGACGCAGCAACGCCGCGUGGAGGACGAAUGCCUUUUGGUUGUAAACUCCUUUCAGCAGGAACGAAAUUGACGGUACCUGCAGAAGAAGCCCCGGCCAACUACGUGCCAGCCGCCGCCGUAACAC
rnacentral:rRNA from 1 species